UGGGGAAUAUUGGGCAAUGGGCGAAACCCUGACGCAGCAACGCCGCGUUAAGGAAGAAGGCUUUCGGGUUGUAAACUUAUGUCUGGUGGGAAGAUAAUGACGGUACCCCCGGAGGAAGUCACCGCUAACUACCUGCCCGCCGCCCCGGUAAUACGUAGGUGGCGAGCGUUGUCCGGAAUUACUGGGUGUAAAGGGCGCGUAGACGGGUAGAUAAGUUAGAUGUGAAAUACCGGGGCUUAACUCCGGGGCUGCCUUUAAAACUGUUUAUCUUGAGUGCAGGAGAGGGAAGCGGAAUUCCUAGUGUAGCGGUGAAAUGCGUAGAUAUUAAGAGGAACACCAGUGGCGAAGGCGGCUUUCUGGACUGUAACUGACGUUGAGGCGCGAAAGCGUGGGUAGCAAACAGGAUUAGAUACCCUGGUAGUCCACGCUGUAAACGAUGAUUACUAGGUGUGGGAGGUAUCGACUCCUUCUGUGCCGGAGUUAACACAAUAAGUAAUCCACCUGGGGAGUACGGCCGCAAGGUUGAAACUCAAAGGAAUUGACGGGGGCCCGCACAAGCAGUGGAGUAUGUGGUUUAAUUCGACGCAACGCGAAGAACCUUACCAGGACUUGACAUCCCGUGCAUAGCGUAGAGAUACGUGAAGUCCUUCGGGACACGGAGACAGGUGGUGCAUGGUUGUCGUCAGCUCGUGUCGUGAGAUGUUGGGUUAAGUCCCGCAACGAGCGCAACCCUUACUGUCAGUUACUACCAUUAAGUUGAGGACUCUGGCAGGACUGCCGGUGACAAAUCGGAGGAAGGUGGGGACGACGUCAAAUCAUCAUGCCCCUUAUGUCCUGGGCUACACACGUACUACAAUGGUGAGAACAGAGGGAAGCGAGACAGUGAUGUGGAGCAAACCGCGAAAUCUCAUCUCAGUUCAGAUUGCAGGCUGCAACUCGCCUGCAUGAAGUCGGAAUUGCUAGUAAUCGCGGAUCAGCAUGCCGCGGUGAAUACGUUCCC
rnacentral:rRNA from 1 species